rnacentral:rRNA from 1 species
AAUGAACGUUGGCGGCGUGGAUUAGGCAUGCAAGUCGAGCGUACCCAGCAAUGGGGAAGCGGCAAACGGGGUAGUAAGGCGUCGGUACGUGCCCUCGGGACGAGGAUAGCCACGGGAAACUGUGGGUAAUACUCGAUGAUCUCGUGAGAGCAAAGGCGUGAUUCCGCCAGGGGAGCGGCCGACGUGGUAUUAGGUAGUUGGUGGGGUAAUGGCCCACCAAGCCUGGGAUGCCUAGGGGGUGUGAGAGCAUGGCCCCCCACCAUUGGGACGUGAGAUACUGCCCACGACACCUACGGGUGGCUGCAGUCGAGAAUCUUCGGCGAAUGGGCGGCAAGCCUGACCGACGCGACGCCGCGUGCGGGA